AUGAAAAGAAACUAUCCAGCCCAUUCUCCUUUUAGCCAUAAGGCCCAGUAUUCAGUGACUACAAACAAGCAGCUUCCUAUUAGUGUACACAGUACCUUGUUUGUAUGAGUUGCACCAAAAGACCUUGGAAACAGAC
rfam:Erinaceus europaeus unplaced genomic scaffold scaffold00042, whole genome shotgun sequence